GAGUUUCCCAAGAUUAUAAACAUACAAAUGUAAUAAAAAUUAUUGUUCGCGAAUAUUCAAUUUGGAAUGCGAUUUUGUUAAUAAAAAAAAAUACUUAUAACUUAUGCAAAACCCAAGAGAGGCAUUUAUAUUUAUUUCUUUUGCGUUCAUUUUCAAAUUCGCCGUGCAUAUAUUUUUGUGCAUGGCGCUUGAGAGGGCAUCACGUGACUAAAAACGACCAACCAACGACCUCGCUUCGGCCAUCUUGGCAUCUUCAUCUUGGCGACCUUGCCUUGCCGUGGAUUGUUUUUAGUUGUUUGUAUUAUUUGUGCUUUUUAAGAAUAUUUUUUUAAUUCGGAUACUUUUAUAAUAGCUUUAAUAGUAUUAUUAACAUAGUGCAUAAAAUGGUGUCCUGUUUUUAACGCAGUUGGAGUAGCAGAAACAAAUGUAGAUAAAAAAAUCUGCAGGAAUAACGUUUCAAUUAUGACAGAAGCUCAAAACAAAUGACUGUGAAUGAAAAGCCCUAUUAAAAGCUUUCCAGAAGAUCCUGCGAAGAAGACAUGAAGUAUAGAUCAGAUUUGUUAAUAGAGGAGUAUGUUCAAAACACUUUUUAGAAAAAGAUAUUGACAGAACUUCACUUUCAUCUGUUCGUUUGAGAGACUGUGCUGUUCCAAUAGCUUAUGUCACACAGAAUCAGCUGAGAGAAGCGGUCUACAAAAAACCAGAAAGGAAACGGAAUAUGUGGCUACGAAAAGCAAAAGAAAGGUUUACAAAGCAAAUGUGACACAUUUUUUUAUAAUAUUUAGGAAUGUCAGCAAAUUACAUUAAAAAAUGUAUGUAAAGAUUUUUUGCAAUAAAAAUGUUUAUAUUUA